UUCUCCUGAGAGAGCGCAACAUCUUCGGUUUAAAAGCCUACAAUCAGCUAAUUUCCAUUCUCCUUUCUCCUUUCUCCUUCCAAUUUCCCAUUUGUUAAAUAUCAAUGGAUAUGUAAUCAGUGUCUUCAUCAGUAAUCGAGUCUUCAUCACUAAUCGCCUUUUAGUUUCGGAUUUUUGAGGUACGUGUCUUCACUGCUCAAUUUUUGAGGUAUGUGUCUUCAUCACUAGACACUAAUCACUAAUCAGUUUCAGAUUUCAUCAUUGUCUCAACAUUCGAUUCUCCUUCACCACCAAUCAGUUUCAGAUUUCAUUUUGUCUCAGCAUUCGAUUCUCCAUUCACCAUCAUCUACGGUUUAUCAAUAUUCGAUUUACGAGGUAUGUUCUUUAUUAUAUACUCGCAUUCCAUUUAUUAAUCUGAUCAUUUUUUGAUGAAAUAACAUUGAACUUAACUGUGGUAUAAUCUAUUCUUGCUGAAUCAUUGGUUGUGUUGCUGAAUUGUUGAUUGUAUUUCACUGUGUUUGAGUUUUUUAUUCAAAUAUGCCAAUGUAUACCAACUAUUCGAUGAAAUGCGUAAGUAAUAAUGUGUAUUAAUUUUCCUUCGAAUUUCAAGUGUCAAUAUGUGAAAAUGUGGAGUUCCAUUAAUCUAUGACACGGUCCUAUUGAAUCAUGAAAGGUAACAAGAUUUCCAAGAAGAACAACCUCAGCGGAUAUUAUUUAUCCUGAUAUUCUGGCUUUAGAACCCAUUAUGAUCCAAUGGAGUUUUUCUGCAACAAAGCUAUCACCUUGAGAAGAUUCUUGAACAAAGGCAAAUCUUUUGAAGAUAUAUUGUCUUUGAAGUGAUCCACUAUGCUGGCUGAAGUUGAGCUACCACCUUUUUGCUGAAUGAAAGAACAUAUUUGACGAAUCAGAAGUUCUGGAAGUACUCCAACAUUGCUUGCUGAUCUAGAAUGCCCAUUAGUUGCUGACCGUUUUCUUCCAUUGCAGGGUGUACCAAUGGCUAGCUGAUGUGAUAAGUUAUAUCUGCAACUCAUGUUAUAUAAAUGUUGGGUUAAUUUUAGUUUCUUUCCAGAUUUGGUUUAUAAAAUCAUCAUGACUUAUUAACAACUUUGUUCAUAACCUUUACAUAUUGUAUCAAACAUAACAUCACAUAUAACUUUCUGCACUAGAAUGGUGAUAUACCUCGCAUCACACCUAUUUGUUAUUCUAUCAAAAUAUUAAGAAAUUAUGAGUUAUUUUCUGACAUUGGGUUGUCCUUGAUUUUCAG
rnacentral:lncRNA from 1 species